UUAUGCCAUAGGUUGAUUGCAUUAGUAUUCACGAAUAUGUUGCAUUGCAUUGUUAUUUGGUGAUGUGAGUGAAUGCUGAAUGAUCCAAUAGUCUCAGACAGGAAGUCCAGGAGCCUUUGACUACGCCCUGGCACGUAUAGCAAAGACCAGGAGCCUUUGACUACGCCCUGGCAGGUAUAUAGCAAAGUCCAGGAGCCUUUGACUACGCCCUGGCAAUGGUAAGUUCACAGGUGUUAUAUACACAUAUACAUAUAUGACAGGAAG
rnacentral:lncRNA from 1 species